rnacentral:rRNA from 1 species
AGUGAACGCUGGCGGCAGGCCUAACACAUGCAAGUCGAACGGCAGCGGGUCAGUAGCAAUACUGAUGCCGGCGAGUGGCGGACGGGUGAGGAAUACAUCGGAAUCUACCUUGUCGUGGGGGAUAACGUAGGGAAACUUACGCUAAUACCGCAUACGAACUAUGGUUGAAAGCGGCGGACCGCAAGGCGUCGCGCGAUUGGAUGAGCCGAUGUCCGAUUAGCUAGUUGGCGGGGUAAAGGCCCACCAAGGCGACGAUCGGUAGCUGGUCUGAGAGGAUGAUCAGCCACACUGGAACUGAGACACGGUCCAGACUCCUACGGGAGGCAGCAGUGGGGAAUAUUGGACAAUGGGCGCAAGCCUGAUCCAGCCAUGCCGCGUGUGUGAAGAAGGCCUUCGGGUUGUAAGCACUUUGUUGGGUAGAAAGACACUGGGUUAAUACCUGGUGUCAUGACGGUA